rnacentral:tRNA from 1 species
GCCGCCUUAGCUCAGUUGGUAGAGCACCUGAUUUGUAAUCAGGGGGUCACGGGUUCAAAUCCUGUAGGCGGCACCA